AGGUAAGCUACUAAGAGCGAAUGGUGGAUGCCUUGACUGGUAAAGGCGAUGAAGGACGUACUAGACUGCGAUAAGCUACGGGGAGCUGUCAAGAAGCUUUGAUCCGUAGAUUUCCGAAUGGGGCAACCCAAUGUAUAGAGAUAUACAUUACCUAUAUAGGAGCGAACGAGGGGAAUUGAAACAUCUUAGUACCCUCAGGAAAAGAAAUCAAUAGAGAUUGCGUCAGUAGCGGCGAGCGAAAGCGCAAGAGGGCAAACCCAGUGCUUGCACUGGGGGUUGUAGGACUGCAAUGUGCAAGAGGUAAGUUUAGCAGAACAUUCUGGAAAGUAUAACCAUAGAGGGUGAUAGUCCCGUAUGCGAAAAACAAACCUUAGCUAGCAGUAUCCUGAGUAGGGCGGGACACGAGGAAUCCUGUCUGAAUCCGGGUCGACCACGAUCCAACCCUAAAUACUAAUACCAGAUCGAUAGUGCACAAGUACCGUGAGGGAAAGGUGAAAAGAACUGAGGUGAUCAGAGUGAAAUAGAACCUGAAACCAUUUGCUUACAAUCAUUCAGAGCCCUAUGUAGCAAUACAGGGUGAUGGACUGCCUUUUGCAUAAUGAGCCUGCGAGUUGUGGUGUCUGGCAAGGUUAAGCAAACGCGAAGCCGUAGCGAAAGCGAGUCUGAAUAGGGCGCUUAGUCAGAUGCUGCAGACCCGAAACGAAGUGAUCUAUCCAUGAGCAAGUUGAAGCUAGUGUAAGAACUAGUGGAGGACUGAACCCAUAGGCGUUGAAAAGCCCCGGGAUGACUUGUGGAUAGGGGUGAAAGGCCAAUCAAACUUCGUGAUAGCUGGUUCUCUCCGAAAUAUAUUUAGGUAUAGCGUUGUGUCGUAAUAUAAGGGGGUAGAGCACUGAAUGGGCUAGGGCAUACACCAAUGUACCAAACCCUAUCAAACUCCGAAUACCUUAUAUGUAAUCACAGCAGUCAGGCGGCGAGUGAUAAAAUCCGUCGUCAAGAGGGAAACAACCCAGACUACCAGCUAAGGUCCCUAAGUCUUACUUAAGUGGAAAACGAUGUGAAGUUACUUAAACAACCAGGAGGUUGGCUUAGAAGCAGCCAUCCUUUAAAGAAAGCGUAAUAGCUCACUGGUCUAGUGAUUUUGCGCGGAAAAUAUAACGGGGCUAAAGUAAGUACCGAAGCUGUAGACUUAGUUUACUAAGUGGUAGGAGAGCGUUCUAUUUGCGUCGAAGGUAUACCGGUAAGGAGUGCUGGAGCGAAUAGAAGUGAGCAUGCAGGCAUGAGUAGCGAUAAUUAAUGUGAGAAUCAUUAACGCCGUAAACCCAAGGUUUCCUACGCGAUGCUCGUCAUCGUAGGGUUAGUCGGGUCCUAAGUCGAGUCCGAAAGGGGUAGACGAUGGCAAAUUGGUUAAUAUUCCAAUACCAACAUUAGUGUGCGAUGGAAGGACGCUUAGGGCUAAGGGGGCUAGCGGAUGGAAGUGCUAGUCUAAGGUCGUAGGAGGUUAUACAGGCAAAUCCGUAUAACAAUACUCCGAGAACUGAAAGGCUUUUUGAAGUCUUCGGAUGGAUAGAAGAACCCCUGAUGCCGUCGAGCCAAGAAAAGUUUCUAAGUUUAGCUAAUGUUGCCCGUACCGUAAACCGACACAGGUGGGUGGGAUGAGUAUUCUAAGGCGCGUGGAAGAACUCUCUUUAAGGAACUCUGCAAAAUAGCACCGUAUCUUCGGUAUAAGGUGUGGUUAGCUUUGUAUUAGGAUUUACUCCGAAAGCAAGGAAACUUACAACAAAGAGUCCCUCCCGACUGUUUACCAAAAACACAGCACUCUGCUAACUCGUAAGAGGAUGUAUAGGGUGUGACGCCUGCCCGGUGCUCGAAGGUUAAUUGAUGGGGUUAGCAUUAGCGAAGCUCUUGAUCGAAGCCCGAGUAAACGGCGGCCGUAACUAUAACGGUCCUAAGGUAGCGAAAUUCCUUGUCGGUUAAAUACCGACCUGCAUGAAUGGCGUAACGAGAUGGGAGCUGUCUCAAAGAGGGAUCCAGUGAAAUUGUAGUGGAGGUGAAAAUUCCUCCUACCCGCGGCAAGACGGAAAGACCCCGUGGACCUUUACUACAGCUUGACACUGCUACUUGGAUAAGAAUGUGCAGGAUAGGUGGGAGGCUUUGAGUAUAUGACGCCAGUUGUAUAUGAGCCAUUGUUGAGAUACCACUCUUUCUUAUUUGGGUAGCUAACCAGCUUGAGUUAUCCUCAAGUGGGACAAUGUCUGGUGGGUAGUUUGACUGGGGCGGUCGCCUCCCAAAUAAUAACGGAGGCUUACAAAGGUUGGCUCAGAACGGUUGGAAAUCGUUCGUAGAGUAUAAAGGUAUAAGCCAGCUUAA
rnacentral:rRNA from 1 species